UUGUUGCUACCAGACUUUUCAGCAUCCUCACUCUCAUUAAUUUUACUUGAACCAUUACAUUCAGACCUAAUUUCUUCAAUCUUUGUAACAGUGCUAGGUUCCCUUUGGCCAUUGAUCUCUACCUUCACAGUUUCUGCACUUCCUUCACAUAGUUUGACAUCGCAGUUAGUAUCACCUCCUGUUUCAUUGCUGCCGUCGAUUUUUGUGAUCAUGUUGGGUGCUGAGUGACUGUUACUGUCUUCACUUCCAGGGUUGAUAGCCAUUGAACUGUUGAUAUCCCCCUUUUCAUCAUCCACACUCUUAUCAUUUUUACUCAAACCAUUAGAUUCACCAAUAAUUUCUUCAACAGCUUUAAUUUUUGUAACAGUGCUAGGUUCUCUUUGGCCAUCGAUCUCUACCUUUUCAGUAUCUGCACUUUCUGCACUUAAUCUCCUGUCAUCGUUAUUUCUGUGAGGACCACUAGAUUUGCCUCUCAUUUCUUCCGUGCUUGCUGUCUCAGUAACAGGGUUGACAGCCAU
rnacentral:lncRNA from 1 species